AUUCCGACUCCUCAGUGUCUGUCCUCGGUGACAUGUACACUAGCCCUUUGGGGAAACAUGUAAAAGACAGAGACUUGACUGCUCACCAGCUAAACCGAGCCAUUGCUUGGCAUUGCCUCAUUAUUGCACAAACUUCUGCUCUGCACCAUCAUGCUUCAUGUCCGGCUGAGUGUUGCUCUGAGUUCUGCAGUCUUCUUCAUAUCUCCAGGCUGAGGUGCAUAUAUAGCUCGGAGCUGCCCCGAGGCACAGCUCAGCAGGACCCAGACCAGCGUGACUGACAGUAGAAAAGCAAAAACUCACAUGGACAUCUCUCCCUGAUGCUGGCCUUCUACUGCCCACAGUUACGUGUACCUGUGGUAGAUCAAUGCUGUGUUGUCCCCCCUUAUUAAGUUACUGUGGGAUGAUACAAGUCAGCUCAUGGGCUGCUGAUUAAAUUUAGCAACAUAGUUUGCAAAAUAACUUCAUCUAACUGGCACUGUAUCUGUUUAUCUGUGAGUUAUCUCUAUUAAAAGGUUCUGCAUGUGAAUGUUCAGAAUCUGUGGCCGGGUUUGGGGCUGUCUCUGGUUUCUAUUUGUAGUUCACACACUGAUAACAUUACAGCAGGCCUUGCUGUCCUCCGGGUCGAGCAUCGGUAGAGCAUUGAACAAAAUACCUGGUAGUUUGGCAGAGUGCCAUGAUUAAUGUACUAUGAAUAAAGCCAAGAAAUGCUUGAUUUCACUCAUAAGCAUAUCGAGCAAUCUGUUUGUCUAUUUGUUAAGUGUGUUUAGUCAAUUAUGAAAUCCAUCCAGCCAUCCAGCCAAAGUCUCCAAUCAACCUAAUCCCAAUCUGUUUUUGGACUGUGGGAGGAAGUCGAGGUACGUCAAUAAUUAAAUUACAAAAAUAUAUAUCAGGAAUAAGAGUGCAAAAUAAAAACAUCAGGUUGGGCAUUCAUUGCUAAGAUAAGACAUGUAAGCCCUGAUCAAAUCAAUCAUGUCGCAUGUCAGAAAAAGUCGAAAAUGGAAAUAAGAGAAGUGUUGGCAGGAAAUGGGCAGAACAUUUGAGCUGGAAUUAACUAUGAGGAAAAGAGAAGAACAAGAGAAGGGAGAGCCCGAGUCAGUUCGGGAGGCAAAGAGAGGAAGGACAAACCAGAAGAAAGACAGAAAAGGGGAGGACUAAAGAAAGGUGGAGAGGAUGCUGUUGUUUUCAGUGAGGCCUAAUUGAUAAAGUGACCUCGGGCAGUGCUGGCAGUGCUGGUGGAGUCAAGGAGAGAACUAACUGCAUGGCUCCGUUAAAAUACCUCUGUCUCCUCAUUCAGGAGCCAAGUGUCAAAACUGCUGUUGAUUAAUACAUGAGGAAACCAAACACAUCUGUGUGUUUGUGUGUGUCUUUGAGAGAGAGAGAGAGAGAGAGAGAGAGAGAGAGAGAGAGAGAGAGAGAGAGAGAGAGAGAGAGAGAGAGAGAGAGAGAGAGAGAGAGAGAGAGAGAGAGAGAGAGAGAGAGAGAGAGUGUUAGAAGUGGAAGUGUUGUAUUCACCCUGCAUUUGUUCUCCAUCCCAUCAUGGCUGCACCUUAGUUUGACUGAGUGAGCGCACACACACACACACACACACACAAGCAGACAGACAAUCCCUGCCUGGCAAGUCAUUUGCAUCCUGUGUUUUUUAUUCAUGGGGCUCUUUUAUUCAUAGGCUUUA